GCCGUAUCGGGCAGAUCGGGAUACUCAUCAAAUUAUAGACAACACCGAGAUACCUUCUCAUGUUAAUGGCGGGCCACAUCCGUGAGGACAGCCUUCGGGCCGGUGGAUUACAACGACGGAGAAAGUCUCAAAUCAUAUUUGCUCGGAGUUUUCAUCACAUCGCCGGUACGGCCAUUUU
rnacentral:sRNA from 1 species